rnacentral:ncRNA from 1 species
CUUCUAUCAUAGCAAACUGCCAGUGACGGCAGGACGCAAAGCAACGGGGCUUUAUUUUAGAUUACCUCCUGACUAUAUCAAAUUCCCUCCCCCUUGCCGGGGGUCAGGGUGGGGGUGAGCUAUGCAAACCAAGCCAGCCGGGCUGCCGAG